rnacentral:rRNA from 1 species
CAGCAGCCGCGGUAAUACGGAGGGUGCAAGCGUUAAUCGGAAUUACUGGGCGUAAAGCGUGCGUAGGCGGUUCGUUAAGUCUGUUGUGAAAGCCCCGGGCUCAGCCUGGGAAUGGCAAUGGAUACUGGCGAGCUAGAGUGUGUCAGAGGAUGGUGGAAUUCCCGGUGUAGCGGUGAAAUGCGUAGAGAUCGGGAGGAACAUCAGUGGCGAAGGCGGCCAUCUGGGACAACGCUGACGCUGAGGCACGAAAGCGUGGGGAGCAAACAGGAUUAGAGAACCGCGUAGUCCCUGUCUCUUAUAC